rnacentral:rRNA from 1 species
AGAGACAGCAGUAGCCGCGGGAAUACGAGGGGGGCAAGCGUUGUUCGGAAUUAUUGGGCGUAAAGGGCGCGUAGGCGGUUUGACAAGUCUGAUGUGAAAUCUCUGGGCUCAACCCAGAGUCUGCAUCGGAAACUGUCGAGCUUGAGUAUGGGAGAGGUGAGUGGAAUUUCCGGUGUAGCGGUGAAAUGCGUAGAUAUCGGAAGGAACACCUGUGGCGAAAGCGGCUCACUGGACCAUUACUGACGCUGAGGCGCGAAAGCUAGGGGAGCAAACAGGAUUAGAUACCCGCGUAGUCCCUGUCUCUUAUAC